GACGAACGCUGGCGGCGUGCUUAACACAUGCAAGUCGAACGGAAAGGCCCUGCUUUUGUGGGGUGCUCGAGUGGCGAACGGGUGAGUAACACGUGAGUAACCUGCCCUUGACUUUGGGAUAACUUCAGGAAACUGGGGCUAAUACCGGAUAGGAGCUCCUGCUGCAUGGUGGGGGUUGGAAAGUUUCGGCGGUUGGGGAUGGACUCGCGGCUUAUCCGCUUGUUGGUGGGGUAGUGGCUGACCAAGGCUUUGACGGGUAGCCGGCCUGAGAGGGUGACCGGCCUCAUUGGUCCUGCGAGACGCCGCAGACUCCUACCGGCGGCAGUAGUCGAGAGUAUGACGCAGCGGGCGGAAGUCUGAGGCGGCAGCCCUGCGUUCGUGAUGCCGGCCUUCGGGUGGUAAACCACUGUGGCAUGUGCCGUGGCCGUAGUGACGGUACCUAGUAAGGAAGCACCGGCUAACUACGUG
rnacentral:rRNA from 1 species